rnacentral:rRNA from 1 species
UACGGAGGGGGCAAGCGUUAUUCGGAAUUAUUGGGCGUAAAGGGCGCGUAGGCGGCUAGAUGUGUCAAAGGUGAAAUCCCUCGGCUCAACUGAGGAACUGCCUUUGAAACUGUCUGGCUUGAGGCCGGGAGAGGGUAGCGGAAUUCCCAGUGUAGCGGUGAAAUGCGUAGAUAUUGGGAGGAACACCAGUGGCGAAGGCGGCUACCUGGACCGGUUCUGACGCUGAGGCGCGAAAGCCAGGGGAGCGAACGGG